GCUAUUUGGUGAUAGACACAGUACCUGGACCGGGCAGAGGAGUGGAAUCCAAAGAUAAAGUUAGGAGAACGUACUUCAAGGGGAAAUUUGUCCUUUCACUUGUGGUAUCAUAGUCUUUCAUGGAUCCCAUGCUGUUGUCUGUUUAUUUCUCCUUAAACAAGGAAAAAUAUACCCAGACCCAGUUUUCAUCAACAGACCAGCCCAUGGCAACCAUCACUCUACUUUCUGUCUCUAUGAAUU
rnacentral:lncRNA from 1 species